UGCAGAUGCUGCUGCUGUUGCCC
rnacentral:piRNA from 1 species